UGUAAUGGAGGGUGUUGAUGACAAGGUAAAGCCAGCAUGGAGAACAUUGUACAAGCCAUCGUUACUAGAGGGGACUGGUGACAUGUAAUGGAGGGUGUUGAUGACAAGGUAAAGCCAGCAUGGAGAACACUGUACAAGCCAUCGUUACUAAAGGGGACUGGUGACAUGUAAUGGAGGGUGUUGAUGACAAGGUAAAGCCAGCAUGGAGAGCACUGUACAAGCCACCGUUACUAAAGGGGACUGGUGACAUGUAAUGGAGGGUGUUGAUGACAAGGUAAAGCCAGCAUGGAGAACACUGUACAAGCCACCGUUACUAAAGGGGACUGGUGACAUGUAAUGGAGGGUGUUGAUGACAAGGUAAAGCCAGCAUGGAGAGCACUGUACAAGCCACCGUUACUAAAGGGGACUGGUGACAUGUAAUGGAGGGUGUUGAUGACAAGGUAAAGCCAGCAUGGAGAACACUGUACAAGCCACCGUUACUAAAGGGGACUGGUGACAUGUAAUGGAGGGUGUUGAUGACAAGGUAAAGCCAGCAUGGAGAACACUGUACAAGCCAUCGUUACUAAAGGGGACUGGUGACAUGUAAUGGAGGGUGUUGAUGACAAGGUAAAGCCAGCAUGGAGAACACUGUACAAGCCAUCGUUACUAAAGGGGACUGGUGACAUGUAAUGGAGGGUGUUGAUGACAAGGUAAAGCCAGCAUGGAGAACAUUGUACAAGCCAUCGUUACUAAAGGGGACUGGUGACAUGUAAUGGAGGGUGUUGAUGACAAGGUAAAGCCAGCAUGGAGAGCACUGUACAAGCCACCGUUACUAAAGGGGACUGGUGACAUGUAAUGGAGGGUGUUGAUGACAAGGUAAAGCCAGCAUGGAGAACACUGUACAAGCCACCGUUACUAAAGGGGACUGGUGACAUGUAAUGGAGGGUGUUGAUGACAAGGUAAAGCCAGCAUGGAGAACAUUGUACAAGCCACCGUUACUAAAGGGGACUGGUGACAUGUAAUGGAGGGUGUUGAUGACAAGGUAAAGCCAGCAUGGAGAACACUGUACAAGCCAUCGUUACUAAAGGGGACUGGUGACAUGUAAUGGAGGGUGUUGAUGACAAGGUAAAGCCAGCAUGGAGAGCACUGUACAAGCCACCGUUACUAAAGGGGACUGGUGACAUGUAAUGGAGGGUGUUGAUGACAAGGUAAAGCCAGCAUGGAGAACACUGUACAAGCCACCGUUACUAAAGGGGACUGGUGACAUGUAAUGGAGGGUGUUGAUGACAAGGUAAAGCCAGCAUGGAGAACACUGUACAAGCCACCGUUACUAAAGGGGACUGGUGACAUGUAAUGGAGGGUGUUGAUGACAAGGUAAAGCCAGCAUGGAGAACACUGUACAAGCCACCGUUACUAAAGGGGACUGGUGACA